UACGGAGGUGGCAAGCGUUACUCGGAAUUAUUGGGUGUAAAGGGCAAGUAGGCGGCCUGUUAAGUGGGUGGUGAAAUACUCCGGCUCAAUCGGAGAACAGCCUUCCAAACUAUCAGGCUUGAGUAUAUCAGGGGGAAAUGGAAUUCUAGGUGUAAGGGUGAAAUCUGUAGAUAUCUAGAAGAACACCAGCGGCGAAGGCGAUUUCCUGGGAUAUUACUGACGCUAAAUUGCGAAAGCUAGGGGAGCAAACAGA
rnacentral:rRNA from 1 species